UCCUACGGGAGGCAGCAGUAGGGAAUCUUCGGCAAUGGACGAAAGUCUGACCGAGCAACGCCGCGUGAGUGAAGAAGGUUUUCGGAUCGUAAAACUCUGUUGUUAGAGAAGAACAAGGACGUUAGUAACUGAACGUCCCCUGACGGUAUCUAACCAGAAGUAGAUUC
rnacentral:rRNA from 1 species